rnacentral:sRNA from 1 species
CGGUCUCGACCAGCUGCGGGCAGAUGAAGUGCACGUGGGCGUCGAUCCCGCCCGCGGUGAGGAUCUUCCCGUUGCCGGAGAGCACCUCGGUGCCCGGGCCGAUCACCAGCGCCGGGUCGACGCCGUCCAUCGUGUCGGGGUUCCCGGCCUUGCCGAUGCCGACGAUCCGGCCGUCCUUCACGCCGACGUCGGCCUUCACCACGCCCCAGUGGUCCAGCACGACGGCGCCGGUGAUCACCAGGUCGGGGCACUGCUCCGCGGUCACGGCGGCCUGGCCCAUCGACUCA